AAAUAUAAUGUAUGCUAUUUUUUUUAUUAUUUUUAUUUAAAUAAAAAUAAUUUAUUUUUUAGUAAUUUUUGAUGAAAUAAUUAUUUAUAGCUUUAGUUAAUUGUACUGUGAAGGAUAAUAUUUUAUUUUUUUUAAGUAAACUUUUUUUGUUGUACCUUUUGUAUCAGGGUUUAUUAAAUAUAAAUUAAUUAUUAUUAAUUUUCCCGAAAUUAAAAGAGAUAUUAUGUAAUGAAUUUUAAUGUAUUAUAAUUAUUUUUAAUUAUGUAAUAGGGAUGAUAUAUUAUUCAAUUUUAAAUAUCUGGUUAUUUAAUAAAUGAAUUUAAUUCAGGUAAUUAUUUGUUAUUAUAUAAAUUUAUUUUUUUUAAUAAUAAUUACUAAUAUUAUAGGGGAUAAGCUCUUUAUUAUUUUCAUAAUUUUGUUAAUAUUAAGAUUUUAAUAGGCUUGAUAACAGCCAUUUUAAAUUUCGUUAUAGUUUAAAUCUUUUUAUUAUUUAUUUAUUUUUAAUUUGAAUUUUUAUUAAAUUAUAAAAUUUAAUUUUUUAUUUUUAGAAAUAAUGAUAGAAUUAGUAGUAUUUAAUAUUUAAAUAUAAUAAUUCGGCAAAUUUAAUUCUCGCCUGUUUAACAAAAACAUGUCCUAUAGAAUUUGAUUUUAGGUCUAACCUGCCCAAUGAUUUAUUUAAUGGCUGCAGUAUUUUAACUGUACAAAGGUAGCAUAAUCAUUUGUCUUUUAAUUAAAGGCUUGUAUGAACGGUUGGACGAGGAAUUGACUUUUUUUAUUUAAAUUUUAUGAAUUUAAUUUUUUAGUUAAAAAGCUUAAAUUUUUUUGCAAGACGAGAAGACCCUAUAGAAUUUUAUUAUAAGUAUUUUAUUUAUUUAUUGGGUAUUGAAUUUUAUUUAUUUUACUUAUAAUUUUGUUGGGGCGACAUUAAGAUUUAUUUAACUCUUAUAUUAAUUUAUAAUUUAUUUAUUUUUAUUUUGAUCCUUUAUUAUGGAUUAUUAGAUUAAAUUACCUUAGGGAUAACAGCGUAAUUCUUUCGGAGAGUUCUUAUUAAUGAAGGAGUUUGCGACCUCGAUGUUGGAUUAAAAUUAAGGUUGGGUGUAGAAGCUCAAUUUUUAAGUCUGUUCGACUUUUAAUUUUUUACAUGAUCUGAGUUCAGACCGGCGUGAGCCAGGUCGGUUUCUAUCUGCAAAUUUAUUUAUAUAUUUUAGUACGAAAGGACCAAAUAUGUAUAAUAUUUAUUAUUUUUUGAAUUUCAUUA
rnacentral:rRNA from 1 species